GAUGAACGCUGGCGGCGUGCCUAAUACAUGCAAGUCGAACGAGGUCUUCGGACCGAGUGGCGAACGGGUGAGUAACACGUUGGUACCUACCCCGAAGUGGGGAAUAACUGGCCGAAAGGUCGGCUAAUACCGCAUAAUACCGCAAGGUUAAAGCAGUAAUGCGCUUCGGGAGGGGCCUGCGUCCCGUUAGCUAGUUGGUGAGGUAAUUGCCCACCAAGGCAACGAUGGGUAGCUGGAUCGAGAGGUGACCAGCCACACUGGGACUGAGAUACGGCCCAGACUCCUACGGGAGGCAGCAGUAAGGAAUCUUCCACAAUGGACGAAAGUCUGAUGGAGCAACGCCGCGUGCAGGAUGACGGCC
rnacentral:rRNA from 1 species